UGUGCCACAACAGGAACUCUCAUCAUAGCAAUAUUUUUAAUGAACAAAAGAAGCAAGAAUCCUGGUUGUGAUGGUCCUCCAUGAUAACUGGCCGAUGAACCCUGCAUACUUUUCCAAGUAUUUUUAUGAAUACGUGGCUUUGGGGAGAGCAGGCUGCAAAAGGUUGGGGCUUAUAAGAUGCAUUUCCAUCCUUUGAGGAUUUCCCUGCACUGAUUCUGAGAGGCAGGGCAAAUGAUAAAAAGAACAUAAGGAGGUGUUCUUUCUUUGUCUUCCUAGAAAGAUGCGUGGUUAGCAUCAGCAUGCUGAUUCAGAGGUCAGGCUAGUGGGCUUGCCAGUGGAGCUGUGAUUCCUCCAGUCCACUUUAUUCAAGACAACAGUCCUAUUUUCUUCAAUCCAGAGCAUUAAAAACUGUCCUAGUGGCACAAUGUUGUUCCAUCCAGCUCAGUCUUCUUCCUCUGAGUCAUCAGUGGAAGUUUUGUCCAGGAGAGUGAUGUUUUCCAUGCCUGCAUACCCCUCCCAGCCCUGGGAUCCCCAGUCUCCACACCUCCAACCAGCUGACUCCUCUGCCUUGUCUGCUCAGCCCUUCUGACCUCCUGGCUCUCCUCCAGCACUUGAGAACCCUCCUGUAUUAAAGACGUGAUUUUGUGCCCUUCUCUUGUAUUUGUCUUCUUCCAGAUGUUCACAGUGCUAACUUCCUGACCUUCAACCUUUGCUCAUCUAUCAACGUCGCAUUGAGAGCAAGGGUCAUGUUUGAUGGGCACUGAUUCUUCACCCAUUUAUUCAACAAAUAAUUACUGAAUGCUUGCUACUACUGAACCCUGUUCUCAGAGACCAGGAACACCAAUGAGACAAACGCUGCCCUAUCGUCCGGUGAGAGGAGUCAGGUUUACAGUUUCUUACUAGAUGUGUUUUUAAUGAUCUGCGACGUUUUAUGAAUGGUACACAUUUUGACAGGACACUUGACGAAGAAAUUACCAUGGAAAUUUUUGAUCAUUUUUACAACAUCUUAGUAAUUGUUUUGGAACCUAGUCUAUCAAGAUUUCUCCAAUAACACUUCAGAACAUUGCUCACUCCUUCUCAAAUUAAAGUCGAUAGAGGUAAUAUGAUGUUUAUCUACUAAAGGAGACAGUAAAGCAAACAAGAGAUACAGGAGGAGUUCCAUCCAGGCUGAGGUUAACAUCACAAAGCAGGGCUGCUGAGAUUUGCCUCAAAGUCCUGAGAUGCUUCCAGCUGAACAAAGAUCUAAAAUAACAGUCAUGACAAUAAGGGUGAUAUUCUCCAUACUUGGCUGUUAAUAUUCCUUCUCCCAUCUUGCGAAGAUUCUGCUUUAUCUAUUUUAAGUUAUCGAAAAUAAGACACCAACUGACUCCUCUCCCACGAAGAUGAAUACAGUAGAACACAGACAAUGAAACGGCAGUUUUAAAGCAAUAUUUAAAUUGGUGCUAUGAAUUAAAGCAAUUGUUUUUGUUUGAGGAAAAGGCGAAUAAAUCUUAUUAAUGUAUAGUACCAUUUUGCAUUUGAAAGAAGAAGAAUAUGGCAAUAUUCAAAGCGUCUUUUGGCCUUGUUGGAUUUUGACUCCAG